rnacentral:rRNA from 1 species
UACGUAGGGGGCAAGCGUUGUCCGGAUUUAUUGGGCGUAAAGAGCGUGUAGGCGGUUAGAUAGGUCUGCUGUGAAAACUCCAGGCUCAACCUGGAGACGUCGGUGGAAACCAUCUAACUAGAGUCCGGAAGAGGAGAGUGGAAUUCCUGGUGUAGCGGUGAAAUGCGCAGAUAUCAGGAAGAACACCCGUUGCGAAGGCGGCUCUCUGGGCCGGUACUGACGCUGAGGAGCGAAAGCGUGGGGAUCAAACAGG